rnacentral:tRNA from 1 species
GGUUAUAUAGCUCAGUGGCAAAGUGAGUGCUUAGCAUGCACAAGGUCCUGGGUUCAAUUCCCAGUACCACCA